rnacentral:lncRNA from 1 species
CAAUAAUCUGCUGAAAGCACGAAUUCUUCUAACCAGUCCCCUUCCUUAGCACGCCCCAGAUGCGAACAAUGAAGCCCAUGGAGAACAGCGUGGCAGUUUCUGCAUGGUGAAAAGCUGGCAACAUUUGCUUGAAAACAGGCUGGCAGCACUGUGGGAAGGCACUCAUCCAUUGCCCUGACCCAUCCCUGAGGAACCGAGUUCUGAUGGAUACCAUUACAGCAACACGUGCUCUGACACGACGGGACAUGUGGACACGUGCAGGUGUUCUCAAAACCUCUCCCCCGAUUCCUUCCUUUGGUGUCAUGGUUCACUUCCAUUGGGAUCACGCAACAAGAAGUGGGAUGUGAAAAACCCCGUUUGUUGGAUGUUUACAUCUCAGCCAUAGCAGCCCAAGUCUGUGAGUACUGAAGCACAGAAGCCACUACUGUUGCUGUUGAUCGGAUUAAAAGAAAAUGCAGUCCCACUGGAGACUUAUGGCCAUUCAGGGGAAAACAAAAUAGAAAAAAAGAGAGAACAAAAACCUGGAAGAAGUUGGAGUGCUCCUGGGAGAUCAGAGCACAGGUCCAAGAGCCCUCUGCAGAGUGGAAAGAAACCAAGGGUGCUGACUUCAUAAAGAGGGAAANNNNNNNNNNNNNNNNNNNNNNNNNNNNNNNGGGAGAAACUUUGAUCUACCAAACUCUUCUGAAAGAGCCUGAGCACAGACACGGUAAUGCUGCACGACAGAACUGCACACACGUGGGUCUCCCCUGUGUCUCAGGGUGAUGUGGUGAUGUGCUGCAUUUCC